rnacentral:tRNA from 1 species
GGAAAGGUGGCAGAGCGGUUUAAUGCAGCGGUCUUGAAAACCGUCGAGGGUGCGAGCCCUCCCAGAGUUCGAAUCUCUGCCUUUCCGCCA